GAUGAAGAACGCAGCGAAAUGCGAUAAGUAAUGUGAAUUGCAGAAUUCAGUGAAUCAUCGAAUCUUUGAACGCACAUUGCGCCCCCUGGUAUUCCGGGGGGCAUGCCUGUCCGAGCGUCAUUACAACCCUCAAGUUCAGCUUGGUGUUGGGCCCCGCCGCCCCGGCGGGCCCUAAAGUCAGUGGCGGUGCCGUCCGGCUCCGAGCGUAGUAAUUCUUCUCGCUCUGGAGGUCCGGUCGUGUGCUCGCCAGCAACCCCCAAUUUUUUUCAGGUUGACCUCGGAUCAGGUAGGGAUACCCGCUGAACUUAAGCAUAUCAAUAAGCGGAGGA
rnacentral:misc_RNA from 1 species